CUUUCCGAUGGAUGGAGGGAUGUGCCCAGUGAGAUGGUUAUGUGAGAAGUUAAGGCCCCGGAGCGCGAGCAAUUGUCCUAUAGAAUCAGGAAUCUCUCCUUUGAAAUUGUUGUUGGACACAUCAAAAAUCACCAUAGAGGUAUUGUACCAGUGAGCAUAUUUGCUUGGAGAUUCAACGCAAUGAGCUGAGUGCUAGUAUCUCCAAGACAGUCAGGAAUUUCACCGGUCAAAAAAUUGUUGGAUAUAUCAAGGAUUGCGAUUUCUGUCGAACUGCAAAUGGAUGCUUUUAUGGUGCCAUUUAAUCUGUUUCCUGAGACAAAAGAAAAAAAUUCUUCAAGUAUGAGAUGGCCUAGUGGAACCGAAAGAGGGAGUAGACUAGAUAUUGACAAUCAAAUCAUCGAUCUUUGAUGAAUUCCUUGUUAGUUUAAGUAUUAUACAACCUCAGUAUUUUACAUGCAACAUAUUUUUUUGGAAAAAUUAUUUUCAAUAAGUCAAUUUUUGCACGAUUUUCUCAUUUUAAGUCUAUCUUUCGAUUAUCUUUGAUCGAGUUAGGCUUGUAUGUCUAUUUUCUUCUAUUGAGUUUUGACUUGUUUGUAACUUGUUCAAUAGGUUACUUAUGAUACGUGUUACAGUGUCCUACCCUCGUCUGUUUUAGAAGAAGGUAAAUUGUAACAUGUAUCAUAAGUAACCUACUAAACUAGUUAUAAACAGGUUAAAACUUAAUAGAAGAAAACGGACAUACAAGCCUAACUUAAUCAAGGAUAAUAAAAAAGGUAGACUCAAAAUGGGAAAAACAUGCAAAGGUUGACUUAUAAAAAUAAUUUUUCUUGUGUUUUUUUGCAAAAAUUACCUAGUAAAACACAAGUUUGGUAGGGAAGAACCUAAUAAAUUUUUUUUUUUCUAAAAACACGUAUUAAAAUUUGGUGUUUUCACCGAAAAUUCAUAAAAUGGUUAUUAUUAACAACCGGAACUAUUUUAAUAGGUCUUUUCAGACAACAAAAAUUUAUAACUUCCUUUUUUUAAAAAAACUUGUGUUUUAUAGGUAUUAUCUCUAUCGGCAAAUUCUUAUAAAAAAAGUUCUAUUUUGUUUAUUAUUUAAGCAUAUAAGGAAUGUUUUCAAUAUUCAAUUAGCUUGUAUGUACCUGCAAGUUUCUUGCUCCCUAGACUCCCAGUAAGGCGGUUAUACGACAAGUCUAUCACUUGCAACUUUCCAUUAAUCCCCAAAUUUUUCGGGAUAUUUCCAGUGAAGUUAUUCUCCCGCAGCUGAAGAAUUCCCAACUCCGGCAAAUCUCCAAUAAACUCUGGUAUAACCCCUUGUAACUUGUUCUGAAAAAGAUUCAAAAAGUUCAACUUCUUGAGAAGAGAAAAAGAGCGUGGGAUUUCACCAGAUAACGUAUUGUUUGACAAAUCCAUAGAUAUCAAGGUCUUCAAAGAACCUAAUUCGGAGGGAAUAU